UGGGGAAUAUUGCACAAUGGGGGAAACCCUGAUGCAGCGACGCCGCGUGAGCGAAGAAGUAUCUCGGUAUGUAAAGCUCUAUCAGCAGGGGAGAAAAUGACGGUACCUGACUAAGAAUCCCCGGCUAACUACGUGCCAGCGGCCGCGGUAAUACGUAGGGGGCAAGCGUUAUCCGGAUUUACUGGGUGUAAAGGGAGCGUAGACGGAUUUGCAAGUCAGAUGUGAAAGGCGGGGGCUUAACCCCCGGAUUGCAUUUGAAACUGCAGAUCUUGAGUACCGGAAGGGCAGAUGGAAUUCCUGGUGUAGCGGUGAAAUGCGUAGAGAUCAGGAGGAACACCGGUGGCGAAAGCGGUCUGCUGGACGGUAACUGACGUUGAGGCUCGAAGGCG
rnacentral:rRNA from 1 species